AUCCUUAAUCCCGCAAUCAGGGCCUCAUAUUCCGCUCCAUUGUUUGUUGCGGGAAACCCGAAAUGCAGAGCGUACUCCGCAAUAACUCCCUCCGGGCUGACCAAGAUCAGGCCCGCACCCGCGCCUGCCAUGCUGGAGGAUCCGUCCACAUAGAGGGUCCAAAAGCAAUCAGAGAGACUGGCUUCUUCGUUAGGGGAGUU
rnacentral:lncRNA from 1 species